rnacentral:rRNA from 1 species
AGCGAACGCUGGCGGCAGGCUUAACACAUGCAAGUCGAACGCCCCGCAAGGGGAGUGGCAGACGGGUGAGUAACACGUGGGAACGUACCCUUUGGUUCGGAAUAACUUGGGGAAACUCAAGCUAAUACCGGAUAAGCCCUUAUGGGGAAAGGUUUACUGCCGAAGGAUCGGCCCGCGUCUGAUUAGCUAGUUGGUGAGGUAAUGGCUCACCAAGGCGACGAUCAGUAGCUGGUCUGAGAGGAUGAUCAGCCACACUAGGACUGCGACACGGCCCAGACUCCUACGGGAGGCAGCAGUGGGGAAUAUUGGACAAUGGGGGCAACCCUGAUCCAGCCAUGCCGCGUGAGUGAUGAAGGCCUUAGGGUUGUAAAGCUCUUUUACCCGGGACGAUAAUGACUGUACCGGGAGAAUAAGCCCCGGCUAACUUCGUGCCAGCCGCCGCGGUAA